CCUACGGGAGGCAGCAGUGGGGAAUAUUGCACAAUGGGCGAAAGCCUGAUGCAGCGACGCCGCGUGAGGGAUGACGGCCUUCGGGUUGUAAACCUCUUUCAGCAGGGAAGAAGCGAAAGUGACGGUACCUGCAGAAGAAGCGCCGGCUAACUACGUGCCAGCAGCCGCGGUAAUACGUAGGGCGCAAGCGUUGUCCGGAAUUAUUGGGCGUAAAGAGCUCGUAGGCGGCUUGUCACGUCGGGUGUGAAAGCCCGGGGCUUAACCCCGGGUCUGCAUUCGAUACGGGCUAGCUAGAGUGUGGUAGGGGAGAUCGGAAUUCCUGGUGUAGCGGUGAAAUGCGCAGAUAUCAGGAGGAACACCGGUGGCGAAGGCGGAUCUCUGGGCCAUUACUGACGCUGAGGAGCGAAAGCGUGGGGAGCGAACAGGAUUAGAUACCCUGGUAGUCCACGCCGUAAACGGUGGGAACUAGGUGUUGGCGACAUUCCACGUCGUCGGUGCGCAGCUACGCAUAACGUUACCCGUCCGUCGGGAGGUACGGCCGCGAAGGACGUAAACGUAACAAAGAAAGUAAGUACGGCGUUGAGACGUUGCCGAACGGCGACGACGAGGGAGGAGG
rnacentral:rRNA from 1 species